rnacentral:tRNA from 1 species
GCAUUGGUGGUGUAGUGGUUAGCUGGGCUGUUUUCCAAACAGUUGGUUUGGGUGUAAUUCCCAGCCAAUGCA